rnacentral:lncRNA from 1 species
AUCGAGACAGCAUUUGGCUCGCCAAGGUGAAAAACCCUUCCUCUAGCUAUUGGUCGGGCAACAUCCUUAACUUUCUGAGGUCCUUCAAGAAGUGCUAAGUACUCCUAGAUUUGUAAUAAGUGUUAUUUAACUUGUAACAAGGGUAGUUGCCAUGGUUUCUACCAUAGUGUCGACACACCUGAGUUGGAUAUAAAGUAUUACCUGGGGAUGGAGGUGGAGGCAAAAAAACUAUCAUUGACGAGCUU